CCUGCACCUCGAGGCAUUGCAGGUGUAGCUGCUAUGUCACAUGUUCGUCAAUAGGUGGCAGAAAGGAGGGAGGCUAUGUCUUCAUUCUGUGUUCUGAUCUAUGAACAUCUAAAUGAUUAGUAACCUAACAUU